GAGGAAGAAUAGAACAACGUAAGCACUGCUAAUCCUUACUUACCCUGGUUAAAGCCCACGGCUUCCUUA
rnacentral:tRNA from 1 species